AAUUGUCAAUAGAUUAUCACUGAAGUUAAUGCAAAAUACAUGAACCUACUUCAGCUCAAAUGCUCCAUGAGCUAUCAGAACAACAAGAAUGGUAAAAGCAAACAAACCCCACAUCCCAAAAGGGAUUUCAACCAUGAAGUUUCAAGAGAUUAAACUAAAGUGAAUACAACGAAUCAACCAACAAACAAAAAAGCAAUUGAAUCAAAAAGAUUAAAAGGGGAG